AGCCCGAUAGUCUAGCGGCCAAUCGGGCGCACCCGCGCCCGGGACGCGGCGACGGCAGUUCGAAUCUGCCUCGGGCUA
rnacentral:tRNA from 2 species